AACGAACGCUGGCGGCAGGCCUAACACAUGCAAGUCGAGCGCCCCGCAAGGGGAGCGGCGGACGGGUGAGUAACGCGUGGGAACGUACCCUUUGCUACGGAAUAGCCUCGGGAAACUGGGAGUAAUACCGUAUGUGCCCUUCGGGGGAAAGAUUUAUCGGCAAAGGAUCGGCCCGCGUUGGAUUAGGUAGUUGGUGGGGUAAUGGCCUACCAAGCCGACGAUCCAUAGCUGGUUUGAGAGGAUGAUCAGCCACACUGGGACUGAGACACGGCCCAGACUCCUACGGGAGGCAGCAGUGGGGAAUCUUAGACAAUGGGCGCAAGCCUGAUCUAGCCAUGCCGCGUGAGCGAUGAAGGCCUUAGGGUUGUAAAGCUCUUUCAGUGGGGAAGAUAAUGACUGUACCCACAGAAGAAGCCCCGGCUAACUCCGUGCCAGCAGCCGCG
rnacentral:rRNA from 1 species